UCCGCGGUAAUUUUCCCACCACACAUGCACCCACCAGUAUCCACCACACAUGCACACAAGACACAACGCUUAAAAAUAGGAGCCAAAGGCAUCAGGAAGGUUCAAGCUCAAAGAGUCUUGAGCAUUUUCUAAAAACAUAUAUGGCUCUCUCUCUCUCCAGCUGUUUAACUGAGUAUUACUCUUCUCAAAACACCAACCAAGGAGAAGAUGCAGAUGAUGAUGAUGAUGGUGGUACAUUGAAAUUCCUGUGGAAGAUCACAAAGCAGGAAGAUUCAUAUAUGGAACACUCAUUUGAGCAAGAUACUACAUGUAACUUCCGUUUCUAGUGGAGGAAGAGGCUAUAUGGUUAGAGAGCCACAACCUAGGACCUUCAGCAAGCUGGUCCGGUUGAAGCAUAAUUAGUGGCUUCCUUGUGGCUCUGAUAGAACACAAGUGGUUUGGUCAAAGACAAUUAGAGGCUUCCUCGUGGCUCUGAUAGAACACAAGUGGUUUGUUCAGAAAUAAUUAGAGGCUUCUCUCGCGGUUAUUGAACAUAAGCAGGAAGUACAUCACCUUUAGACAUUUUUUUAUGAUCAUUACAUGGUGAUAUAUACUUUUUGCUACUCUACUUUCUUUCCAAACAAGAUAUUGUUUUUUUUUUUUUUUUUUUUUUUUUUUUUGAUAUGAACAAGAUAUUGUUUUAAGUGACAUGUGAAGCAACAAUGCAAAACCGUUUCAAUGGUCAGUUAGUAGUUCUUUUGUCAA